AUGGGUCCAGCAAAAACCCCAAACUUAAUUCUCAUUGGCUGGAUUUGGUCACAUGGGCAUAUCCCUGAUCACAUGACUAAGGCCAGGAGACUGAGACAUUCUGAUUGGCUGGGCCUGGGGCACACACUCAGUCCUGCCCCAGCAAAUGGGGUCAUCACCAGGAGAACCAUAGGGAUUGAGAAUAGUCGUUUCUCAAGGAGCUCUCAUAAUCCUGGAGGAAAUCUGCCUCAUGCUGGAGUGGGCAGGAAGGGAAGAGCGCAGGAAAGGAAGAGCACAGGAAGGAGGGAGGCAGACGCUGCUGGGAGUUCCUGCUUCUCCAGUCUUGAGACUAAGACCCAGUUUCAGGCCUAUCAAUUAGUGUCAAGGGGAAAGGCUUCCUUGCAAUGAGGAGUGGGCACAUGUUCCAGUUCUGUCCAAAGAGAACUAAGCAGAGGUCUCUGGAGGAGACCUGUGUAAAAGCACUGCUGUUCUAAAAGAAGGGGACAGCAUGGCUGGGCCCUGUCCUUCCUACUUCCUGCCUGAAGUGUGGAUAUACUCUCUGGAGCCCACCCACGUAUCUGCUUUCAGAGCCAUCUCCUGCCAAGAAACGGAAAAACAGAGGGUCAAGAGUUCAGUCUGGAUAGGCUAACUGGGGUCCAAGAGCAGGGGAAGGUCCACCCUGGGCACCUGUCCAGAGGAUGGGCUGCUUCUCACCUAGACCAGAGGAACCACUUGUCACCUGGGCUGGACUGAGGAAGGGUUGUCCUCUCCCAAGAACUUGUUGGAUAACUCCUGUCUGCUGGCUCCAACACUCAAUCUGGAGGGCUGGAAGAUGAACGGUCUCUACUAUGGAAUCCUGGUGGCCAACUCUUCACCGUGUCUUCUGGGUUUCCCUUUGUAUCCAGCUCCUCCUAUUGUAACUGAAAGAUAGUUGAUAAUCAAAAUAAUCUUGGAUGGUUGGAUGGAUUGAUAAGAGAGGGAUGGAUGGAUGGAUGGACAGACGAAUGGAAAAUACAGUUAUUAAGAGGCUAUCUUCCAUACACAUUAGCUGACAGAAACCCCGUGAGGUCACAGGCUAGGUGUUAUUAUGCCCAUUUAACAGAGAAGAAAGCCAAGGUUCUGUAAAGUUAAUUGACUUUCCCAAGGUCACAAGACUUGGAGGAGGUGAAGCUGGGACCCAAAUCAACACUGCUUCAAAACCCUGGGCACAGGCCCCUCCUGCCUCACCUCCCUGGACAUCACCUCCAGUCCAUACUAGGCCCAAUAUAUAGGGACAGAGGCAAAGAACCUGCCAUCAUCUCAGCACAUCACGAAAGGAACUUUCAUGAUACGGGUCUGGAAAGCUGCCAGGAGCAGCCUCUCAUCCACAUCCCCCAGUUCUGCUGUUGGGACCGCCAAGAACACGUCACUUCCUUAACAGGUUCUCAGUACGUAUUUGUAGAAUGAAUGAGUUGCCUUGUAUUGGUACAAAUUCCUCAAGAAAAAGUCAUAGGCUACAAAAUCCCGGAAAAGCAGGUAAGAGUGACAUGUUUCUUAGCUUUGCAAGAGACGGCAGUGUGCAUUCUAGUGGCCAAAUGAGCCUCCUGACAUGGUAUACAGCCCAUGAUACUCAUCACCACCAUCAUCAAAGAUCAGUUACCGUGCACGCUUGCUGCAUGCCACUCACUAUGCCAGGCAUGCUAUGUGAAUGGUCUCAUUUAAACUUCACAACCAACCCAGUGAUCUGGAUAGUACUGCUAUCUUCAUUUUAUGGUUGAGGAAUUGAAGGUUGAGAGGUUAAGUAACUUGAUCAGAGCCACACAGCCAGGGGUAUCAGAGUCAGGUAUAAACCCAGGGUUUAUUUGUUUAUUUGUUUUUGUUUUUGUUUUGUUUUUGCCUCCAAUAAGAGAGGAGGUGGCAGGGAAGACUUGUGUGGGAUGGCUCGUGGGGGACAAAUGCCCCCUCUGUAAUCUGUGUGGAGGGUGGUCCAGUCUGAGAGCUGACAGGGGAAGAGAGAGGUGCUGCCCAGGGAAGCAGGAGUGGGUGGGGACAUCUCCUUUGGGCAGGCCUUUCCUUGUCCCGUGCCAGGCUCAGCCCCAGCGUGCUCACCCAGCAGCCCUGGCUGUUUGUGUGUUUUGGGGGGUGGGGUAGGAGCAGUAGAUUAGGAGGGGCAGGGCUAGGCUGACUGGGUUGUGAUUCCCAUGGAGACGUUGGUGAUUCAUUGCCCCUUCCAGCCAGUGGGGCCUCUGUCAGGAUGUGACUUGUAUGAAACAGGUCACAAGAUGCCAUCCAGGAAAGACGGAAAUGGGGAGGGGAGGGUGGGGUCUCAUCCUGAGCCUGGGCACCCUGGGCUCCGUAAAGCGCCUACCUGAGGCCCAUCUCCACGCCACAGUGAAAAACCUUUCUUUGCCUGGGGUGAAGCACAUUGGAAAGGGUCAAUGCUGAACCCUUCUGAAGUCUUUUUCCUGGAAGGUUCCAGGACCUCCGUUGCCCUGGCCCAGAGGUGCCGUGACUCUAGCCUGGGUGGUGAGUCCUGGUGCUCAGAGAAUACCUCUUCCAGGAUUUCUGAGAGGUAUGCAUAGAUAAGUCAACCUAAGGAGUUUAGAAGAGCUGGGCUGGGAAAAAGAAAAAGCGAAAUCAACCUGCACACCAUUAAUUGGCACGUACUCUAAGUCCAGCAGGACCCAAUGGCUGACUUGGAACAGGUGCUCAAUAAAGGUGUGUUGCCCGACUGAGUAACUGAAAGG
rnacentral:lncRNA from 13 species